GACGAACGCUGGCGGCGUGCUUAACACAUGCAAGUCGAACGGUAAGGCCCUUCGGGGUACACGAGUGGCGAACGGGUGAGUAACACGUGGGUGAUCUGCCCUGCACUUCGGGAUAAGCCUGGGAAACUGGGUCUAAUACCGGAUAGGACUCCUGGCUUCAUGGUUGGGGGUGGAAAGCUUUUGCGGUGUGGGAUGGGCCCGCGGCCUAUCAGCUUGUUGGUGGGGUGAUGGCCUACCAAGGGGACGACGGGUAGCCGGCCUGUGAGGAUGACCGGCCCGACACGGGCGCGCCCACGGCCCAGACUCUUAGGGGAGGCGGCUUUGGGGUAUAUGGCAGAUUGGGCGCAAGCUGGGUGGCGGGGGGCGGCUUGAGGGAGGACGGCCUCGGGUUUGUAACCGUCUUUGAGCGCCUAGGCGGCGCGAGUGUCGGUAGGUGCAGAAGGAGCACCGGCCAACUGCGUGUGUGCAGCGGGCGUAA
rnacentral:rRNA from 1 species